rnacentral:rRNA from 1 species
CCUACGGGCGGCAGCAGUGAGGAAUAUUGGUCAAUGGGCGGAAGCCUGAACCAGCCAAGUAGCGUGCAGGAUGACGGCCCUACGGGUUGUAAACUGCUUUUAUACGGGAAUAACGCGCCUUACGUGUAGGGCUUUGCAUGUACCGUAUGAAUAAGGACCGGCUAAUUCCGUGCCAGCAGCCGCGGUAAUACGGAGGGUGCGGGCGUUCUCCGGAUUUAUUGGGUUUAAAGGGAGCGUAGGCGGCAUGUCAAGUGUGCUGUGAAAUGUUCGGGCUCAACCCGGGCCUUGCAGCGCGAACUGGCUGGCUUGAGUCCGCGGAAGGCAGGCGGAAUGCGUCGUGUAGCGGUGAAAUGCUUAGAUAUGACGAAGAACCCCGAUUGCGAAGGCAGCUUGCUGCAGCAGAACUGACGCUGAUGCUCGAAAGCGCGGGUAUCGAACAGGAUUAGAUACCCGAGUAGUC